rnacentral:rRNA from 1 species
AUUGAACGCUGGCGGCAUGCCUAACACAUGCAAGUCGAACGAGUGGCGGACGGGUGAGUAAUGUCUGGGAACCUGCCUGAUGGAGGGGGAUAACUACUGGAAACCGUAGCUACUACCGCAUACCAUCCUUUCUGCCCAGAUGGGAUUAGCUGGUUUGUGGGUGAACGGCUCACCAAGGCGAAGAUCCCUAGCUGGUCUGAGAGGAGGACCAGCCACACUGGAACUGAGACACGGGCCAGACUCCUACGGGAGGCAGCAGUGGGGAAUAUUGCACAAUGGGCGCAAGCCUGAUGCAGCCAUGCCGCGUGUAUGAAGAAGGCCUUCGGGUUGUAAAGUACUGUCAGCGGGGAGGCGUUACCCGCAGAAGAAGCACCGGCUAACUCCGUGCCAGCCGCCGCGGUAAUUC